GAUGAACGCUGGCGGCGUGCCUAAUACAUGCAAGUCGAGCGAACAGACGAGGAGCUUGCUCCUCUGACGUUAGCGGCGGACGUGUGAGUAACACGUGGAUAACCUACCUAUAAGACUGGGAUAACUUCGGGAAACCGGAGCUAAUACCGGAUAAUAUAUUGAACCGCAUGGUUCAAUAGUGAAAGACGGUUUUGCUGUCACUUAUAGAUGGAUCCGCGCCGCAUUAGCUAGUUGGUAAGGUAACGGCUUACCAAGGCAACGAUGCGUAGCCGACCUGAGAGGGUGAUCGGCCACACUGGAACUGAGACACGGUCCAGACUCCUACGGGAGGCAGCAGUAGGGAAUCUUCCGCAAUGGGCGAAAGCCUGACGGAGCAGCGCCGCGUGAGUGAUGAAGGUCUUCGGAUCGUAAAACUCUGUUAUUAGGGAAGAACAAAUGUGUAAGUAACUAUGCACGUCUUGACGGUACCUAAUCAGAAAGCCACGGCUAACUACGUG
rnacentral:rRNA from 1 species